CCAGGGUACAGAUGUGUGCUACAACACCAGCGAACCUCGAAAACAUUAUGGUCAAUGAAAGAAGCCAAUCAAAAAAGGCCACAUGCCAUAGGAUGCUGUGAACAUACAACAUGAAAUAUCAGAACAGGCAAAUCCAUGUGACGAAAAGCAGAUCAGUGGUCACUGGGGGCUGAGGAAAGGAGGUCAUGUGGCUGCUGAAGGGACUGGUGCUUCAUCUUGAGAUGAAACGUCUUGGAAUAAGAGUGUGGCACAAUUCUGUGAAGACACUAAAAACCACUGGAUUAUACACAUUAAAUGGAAGACAGACAGAUGGACCAGACGGAAUACACGAGUAGGAGACAGGAGGAGUACUUUCCCCUUCCCACGCACAGUCCCCGACGCGUCAGCCCUGGCCAACCAGCAGACCGUGCCAUUACUCUGUGCUUACAGCUUUCAAGAUCCUGCAUUUUUUACAAACUGAAGGUCUGUAGUGACCCUCCAUCGAGCAAGUCUAUCAGUGCCAUUUUCCCAACAGCAUGUGCAUGCUUUGUGUCUUUGUGUCAGCAUUGUUUAGCAACGAAGGAUUUUAAAUCAUGUUGUCUGGAACCCAAUCUGCAAUAUUUCCGAAGCAUGCCUGUAUAGUGGAUCUAAAAUGGCCAAUAUCCCGUGAAUGCGAACGACCACUCACCAACUGUCAUCACUGAGCCUGGGCCACAUUUGUAAACAGUGAUGCUGGCUUUCCAAUUCCUCUCUGAUAAGUCCCCUCUUUGACACUGCUUUGGGUUCUUCUUGCACUGAUGUUGUUGAAAUGCAACUGUGAUUCUAAAUUUCAAAUGCGUCUCUAACAGGUUUUAGCUCAUCAUUACUUCUAGCUCUUUCUCCCAUAUUUUCAUUGUCAAAACACAGUCUCUUUGAAAACUUUGAUGGCUUACAAUUUUGUUGAAGAUAGUCAUCUUCAAUGUUCCAAAAUCAGAGAGGAUUUUCAUUUUUAGAUUUUAAGACAUCAAUUACAAUGACCAAGCCAAUGGCUAUUUUCAUUUCUAUCUCUAUUUCCUUCCAAUCAUCUCCUGAUUGCUUUUAGCAAUUAUCCAUUUACUAAGUAUCAAGGUGGGUCAUAAACAUCUUAAAAGAUGAAAGACUACUGUCACAUAUCUGUUUAACAAAAGGGGAUGGUCCACAUUCUUGUCAUAAAAUAUUAUGUGAUAAAGCCCAUCCUGUUGAAUGACUAAUUGAAUGAGAAACCAUAUUCCCCCUUCAUAUUCUUAGAAUACUAUUCACUCGUUGAUGCCUGAUUUUAAGAAAAUUCAUCUAAGCUAUCUUCCACUGAAGGCGCACAGUCUGCAAAUUUGCUGAUAUGAUCAAUUUCACCAUCAUCAUUAGCAUCUAGAGAGCUGCUCUCAAUCUGUCUGCAUUCAUCUUCUGAUUCAUUUAAUAAUGGUGAAAUGUCUUCCUCUGCCAAUUUUCCUCUCAUUGCUAUUACAAGUGAAAAAUAAAAAACUCUAAAUUCUCUGU